rnacentral:rRNA from 1 species
GACGAACGCUGGCGGCGUGCUUAACACAUGCAAGUCGAACGGAAAGGCCCUGCGUUUGUGGGGUGCUCGAGUGGCGAACGGGUGAGUAACACGUGAGUAACCUGCCCUUGACUUUGGGAUAACUUCAGGAAACUGGGGCUAAUACCGGAUAGGAGCUCCUGCUGCAUGGUGGGGGUUGGAAAGUUUCGGCGGUUGGGGAUGGACUCGCGGCUUAUCAGCUUGUUGGUGGGGUAGUGGCUUACCAAGGCUUUGACGGGUAGCCGGCCUGAGAGGGUGACCGGCCACCUUGGGACUGAGAUACGGCCCAGACUCCUACGGGAGGCAGCAGUGGGGAAUAUUGCACAAUGGGCGGAAGCCUGAUGCAGCAACGCCGCGUGCGGGAUGACGGCCUUCGGGUUGUAAACCGCUUUCGCCUGUGACGAAGCGUGAGUGACGGUAAUGGGUAAAGAAGCACCGGCUAACUACGUG